rnacentral:rRNA from 1 species
UAGAGUUUGAUCAUGGCUCAGGAUGAACGCUGGCGGCGUGCUUAACACAUGCAAGUCGAACGGAUACAGUUUAGGCUGUAUUAGUGGCGGACGGGUGCGUAACACGUGGGUAACCUACCCUUGAGUGGGGAAUAAUCCUACGAAAGUGGGACUAAUACCGCAUAAAUCAGGGGAACCUGAUGAAAGCCUUCGGGUGCUUGGGGAUGGGCCUGCGGCGGAUUAGGUAGUUGGUGGGGUAAAGGCCUACCAAGCCGAUGAUCCGUAGGGGGCGUGAGAGCGUGGCCCCCCACACUGGCACUGAGAUACGGGCCAGACUCCUACGGGAGGCAGCAGUGAGGAAUAUUGCACAAUGGGCGGAAGCCUGAUGCAGCAACGCCGCGUGGGGGAAGAAGGCCUUCGGGUUGUAAACCUCUUUUCUGGGGGACGAGGAAGGACGGUACCCUGGGAAUAAGUCUCGGCUAACUACGUGCCAGCAGCCGCGGUAAAACGUAGGAGGCGAGCGUUAUCCGGAUUUACUGGGCGUAAAGGGCUCGCAGGCGGCUUAGUAAGUUAGACGUGAAAGCUCCUGGCUUAACUGGGAGAGGUCGUUUGAAACUGCUAGGCUUGAGGAUGGGAGAGGGGUGUAGAAUUCCCGGUGUAGUGGUGGAAUGCGUAGAUAUCGGGAGGAACACCAGUGGCGAAGGCGACGUCCUGGCCCGCACCUGACGCUGAGACGCGAAAGCGUGGGUAGCGAACGGGAUUAGAUACCCCGGUAGUCCACGCUGUAAACGGUGGGUACUAGGUGUUGGUGGCUAUCGUCAUCAGUGCCGUAGCUAACGCGUUAAGUACCCCGCCUGGGGACUACGGCCGCAAGGCUAAAACUCAAAGGAAUUGACGGGGGCCCGCACAAGCAGCGGAGCGUGUGGUUUAAUUCGAGGCAACACGAAGAACCUUACCUGGGCUUGACAUGCACGUAGUAGUGAAGCGAAAGCGGAUCGAUCCUUC